ensembl:lncRNA novel transcript
UUGGGUUCCUGCCGGCGCCUCUCCCUCCACACCUCACCUCAAACAGAGGGAGCCGGCUCCGGUCUCGGCCAGCCCAGAGAGGGCCUCCCAUAGUGCAGCGGCGGGCUGAAGGUCUCCUCAAGCGCUGCCAGAGUGGGCGUCGAGGCUGAGGAGACACCGAGAGCGAGUGAGGGCUGCAAGCAUGCUGUCACCUCUCAGUAAUUUGAGAAAAUUUCUGUUUUCUAUGGCAGAGGCAUCAUGUGAGGAAGCUGUUAUUGGCUUGAAUUUCUGCCUCUUGUAUUCCUCAAAGCAAAUGAGCAGUGAAGUAGACAAGAGACCAUAAUUCCCAUAGUCAAGGUUGGGAGCAGCAAGUACUGCAGCCCAUUUGAGGUAUGAUAAUCAGCUGAUUAGCUAGUGGAGUCGUUUUCCCUGAGGCUCUUUUGUGUGCAAAAUCCUCACACUCAAUUGACAUGUGGACAUCAUAAAGCUGAUGAAAUGCAAUUGUAAUGAACAAGAGGGAGCGGCAUCUGCAGCCGUCUAAAUGAAGGACCCUUUCCUCUCGCCAUGCUAAUUCAGAAAAUCUGCUCUUAACGUGUACUCCCCCUGGAUUCCAAAUUGAGGCACAUCUCCAUGAAUGCAUAUUCAAGGAGUGAAUUAGCCUCUGUGGCAAGUGAGCGCCUAGCCUGGCCAGACUGAUUCUAAUUUCAAGACAGAUUAUACUGCAUCAACCAUAGUAAUGAUCUGACAGUUCAUUUGUGAUGAGAGUCCUACAGUCAGCUUUACUGCUCGGACAGACAGGUGCACAGAGAGAGCCAGCAAGACCUCUCAGAAAACACCAAAGGCUGCUGUCAAAUGAUUUCAGCCCAAAUAGCCAGAUGAAGGAGAAAAGAGGUAAUCUGUAUCUCUGGCCUCCUUGUCUGACUGAGUGGAUUCAUUGCUCCUGUAUGUGUUAUCACAGAAGUGAACUUUCAUAGAAAAGCAUCUGGCCAAAGAUGCCAUUCUUCAAUUCAGAGGGAAGACUUUCUGGAGCUUCAUGGCUUAACAGUUAACCGAGUAUCCUUGUAACAGCUAAGUACCCUUAGCUUAACAAAUAAAAAAACUGAAACGCAUUUGGAAAGACAAAGGCUACGUAGCAGGAGUCAGCUUUCUAGAUUAAUAUUACAACAACAUAAACAACAAUCAACAUUGAUUGGGCACUAGGUUCUGUGCUGGGUUUGUUCCUAUGUCAUUUCAUUCAAUCCUCACAGGAGUCCAAGGAGAUGCACUAUUAUUUUCUUCAUGUCACAGAUGAGGAAAUGAGAAUGAAGAUGUCGAGUGACUAUUCCAAAGGCAUAGUAAGGAGUACCCAGCCUUUGAACCCUCCUUUCUGAAUGGAAGUGUCCCUCUAAUCAUCCUUGCUAAACAUUAUAGCUUCAAAAUUAAAGAAUGGCCAAACUUGGCCAUAAAGGAGUAGGAGUAAAUAAAGAUGAUGACUGGAGCUAAAA